ACACACACACACACACACACACGCAUCCACAUGAGCAGACCAGGUCAAGUUGCACACACACACUUUCUCAUCAAUUUUUUUUUAUCUUUCCCUCUCUUUCACCGAAUCAUAUCUUCAUUCUCAGUUUUUUUAUCCGUCUCUUCAUAAAUAUAUACUCCAGUUAUUGUUUCUUUUAUAAAGUUAAGUAUGUUCUACACGUGUGACCACUGUCUUCGCUGAGUGAAUGAUCUAGAGUCAAAUGUUCCUCCUUUACACAUCUACCAUGCCUGGAUCUUUUUCAUCAUUCUCCCUUUUAGCCAAUCAUUGCUGCAUUUUCUGCUUUUCAUGCGCCGUCUUUGAUCCGUGGAUCUCGAUAGUCUCUGAGGCUGCGGCAGAACACAAGUGAUGGACGUCAAUACAACUUCUGUGCUAUUCCCUGGAAUCCGCCGCUCGCAUCUAGAGCCCCGCUUAAGAUUCCGCGUCCACGUUUCGAGCUUUUUUUUUACCCCUCAAGUUCUUGUGACGCAAGCUCAGAUACUUAAACCCGAUAAUUCGCGUGCGGAUAUGAAUGUUUCAGCUUUGACAGAGGAAAUUAAACAGAACUGAUGAAACUCCAGACGCCGACAGGAUAAGCUGCGUUCGACGGAUACCGGGGUCUACCUGCCAAUCUCUCCAUCCCUGGCGCUAAUGAUGUGCCUGAAUAUCCCCCGCCCUGAAUCCAUCUCAUCUCUCUCCUCUUCCCUUCUCUGUCUAUCCAUCUCCUCUCCACCUUCCCCCCACUGAGUCUGUGCUCCAGACGCUAAUGAUGGGCCCACGUGCGCGCGCUCACGCUCGCGCCCGCGUUGCGAAGGGCUGAAGGGGCUGACAACGAGCUGUCCACCUACGGAGCAGCCGAGCGCCCGGGAAGGUGCUGUUACCAAGUAGAAGGCGUCCACACGCGUUGCACGGUGUGUGAGAAGCAUGAAGUCACACGCUGAGAGGCUGAGGAAGGCGGCCUAUGAACACAACCACACUAAGUUCGUGUAAAAAAGGGAAAAAGCUUUGAAUCGGUGUUGAGCGGGAUCACGGGGAAACACGGGAGCAUCAUGAAGGAGCUGUGUUGGAGGAAUGAAUAAUUCAGGGGUUAUAGCAGUAAAGCAGAAGUCACACAAACAAAUAAAUAAAUGCUGUUCCAUCGCAUCCCGUCACACUCAUUCACAUCCCAGUUUUUCCUGGUGAUACAAGCUCAGAUAUUCAAAUCCAAUAAUCCAUCCACGGAUAUUAAUGAUUCAGUCAUUGCAGAGGAAAUUAAACUAAGCUAAUCAUAGUCAAACUCCAGGCGCUGUUGCUAUUUUAAGGCCGACCGGAUGCGCUAUAGUAGAUGGAUUUAGGAUCUGUCAAUCACGUUUAUUUAGCCAAAUGCAUAUUUAAGGGGAAAUUGGCUCAUUUUUAUACUGAGAAGUUAAAUGAGACAUCUGGCUGCCAAUUUAUGAUGGAAGAGCAAUUGUAGGUCAAACUGCGUCUUUCACUUAAAGGUAGUAGGAGGAAAACCUCACACUCACAUACUGUCAUUGCUGUUUGUGUUGUAAGAAAGUAGUGGGUUAUGUGUAGGUUUGUGUGUUUAGAAGGGCAGCUGUAACGAGGCAGUGCUGCAGGGAGAAGAAGAAGAAAAUGAACAGUAAUACAUGUUAAAGACAGCAGAUGUGCUGGGAGGUGUGCAGGCAAAGGUUUGUCAUUAAUAUGUAGGAAAAAAGUUUAAACUUCUGAAAGACAGUGACAAGAACAAUGUUGAUGACGAUGACACAAUGCUGGAAACACGAGACAACAUUUAAACAAAGCAAUGAAACUGUGAAGAUCCGUGACAUGUUUUUGUAUAAAAUUGAUUUCAAUUAACGUUUAUUUAAGAUUAGUGACAUGCUUUUGUAUAAAAUUGAUUUCAAUUAACGUUUAUUUAAUGUUCAAAUUAACACUAACGAGACCUCAACCAGGUUUUCUUCCGACACAAACUUGUUCGGUUCCACUCCGAUGCUCCAGAACCCAGCGCGUGGACCUGUCUCCGCUCACAGAACCUCGGCUUCGGCGACGUGUGGCUGAACAGGAACACGCGUUGAGAAAGACUCAGGUUUCCCUCAAAUCUAAAUGCUAAUGCGGAGGCAGAGCUAUUACUGCGGUUUACUGUGCUCGGGCGCGUGCUGAGCGUUUGGGCGUGCGGCGCCGAGGAUGACUGCACUUUUCCCUGCACAUGGAUCACCUGCUUGUUUAAUCCAGGUCACAGCCGUAUGCGGGUACGACUGGAGGGCGCUGCAGUACUGCUUCCUGAGCGGCCCUUGUGUACAGGCGGUCGCUGGUGGCCACAUGCUGGGAUGAAAGACAUGAACGCAAUGAAAACCAAUGUGUUCUUUAUCAAUAAAACACACUCAGUGACAUAAUGAACCAACGUCUCUACAGCAUGAGCUGCAGCCGAGCUCUGCAGGGCAUUUAAGACAACGCUGUGGCCCAUUAGCUGCGUUCCAGCUGAAAGCUUCAAAGACAAUAAAGGGCUUCUGAAGAAUCCAUUCUCGUGUACAGUACAUUCAGCCCAUUAAUAAUAAAAAAUCCACAGCGGACCCUGACCUUCCUCUGACCUUCAUGUGAUCCAUAGGCUUCUGUAGCUGGUCUUUGCUUCAUCAGAGCAUCGUCUGCAAACAUCGGUGCAGUGACUGUGAACGCGGCCGUUUGCUCUGCUAUGACAUUUGCCAUUGACUCGCAGCACAUGCAUAAUGGAUAAAGGCGUAAUUCCAGUUAAGAUCGGAACAGAAACUCACAAUUCAAUGUUCAUAUUCAUUACUGAGUCCAGGAAUUUCACUUCAAUAUCUGCUUUCAACAGCAGGAUUCCGUCUCUCCUGUAUCAGAUGCCACAACGCGAUCGAUAUUCGAACAAAAAAAAAAGGCAAAACAAUGCAAAUCAAUAGGUUUCGGUAAAAGGAUCAUCAGUUGUCUGUGCUUGAGUAUGUUUUUCUUUUUUUAUCGUUUCCAGGAUUCCCAGGUAUCAUCCUCACAGAGGGAAGUUACUAUGAAUCUGCAGCUGUAAUGUACACACCACACACUGAAUUAGUCCUUAAGUAUGACAUGAUCAUUAAGAGACUACUUAGUAUCAUGUGUCACUUUACCUGAGGCUACAAUGUAAAAAUAAGUCAUGCUAUACAUUAUUUUUAUGAGUUGUUGCCAGUUUGUUUCAGCUACUAAUGAGUAAUAAGUGAUGUGUCAUUAAACCCUCUCCCGGCCUGUUCUCCAACACUCAUCAUCUUAUUAUGUGCUCUGCGGUUACUCAAAGUCCACUUAUCAUUAAGUACAGAAUUAUUAAUAUACUGCUUGUUCUUUCCAGUACUCAGCACUGCACUCAUUAACAAUUGAUUAUCAGUUUUCCCCUUGAUUCAUUCCUAUGUGGCUUAGUGGCGUAAUCGAUUAUGCCGUUGUACUUUAUCUUGUGUGACCGGCCUCCGCAGCAAAACACCUUUGCCU